GAAAAAUGUGAUUUCUUCCCAUGAACUUGUGAAACUUUAGGAAAGUUUUAGUAUGCAUGAAAUCAUUGGUUUGAAUUGAACGUUUGUGGAAAUUUAACCAACAAGCUGAAUUUUGGAUCUAGAUCAGCAGAGGCUGAAACAAGGCAGCACACACAGAGCCAGGGCGAAGAUCACAUAUGGUAUGAGAUUUCGUCAGAAAUUUGUGGGGCGCAUGGAUCGUCCUGGUCAUCAAAAUGAGGAAGUCGUGCCUUUGGAGCACACAGAGUGACUUUGACUUCAUCCAGGAGGAGAACAAGGCUGAGUGAACAGUGCCACCCAGGAUGCUCAUCACAACAGUAAAGUGAAAGGAGGAAGUGAUGCAACAGUGCCAUUGUUCCAAAGUAGAAGGAAAAGCUGAACAGAAGGCUCUCUCUCCAGAUUCCACAUGUUUACUGGACGGUUCUCGAUGUUGACCAUUCUGAGUUACUAUUCCCUGGUACAUAAUAUAUCCUCUCAACAUACAAGGGACCGCAGAUGUAAACCCACAAGCUGCCAUAAAUACUAUCAUCCCAUGGCUCAAGUCUUCGGCCUGGAGAUACCUGGAAACAAAGAGAAAAUUUGUAUAAGAUGAAGAAUAUCAUCUCGGGUCCAAGAAUAGCACUUGAAUUGAAGUGACAUAGCUAUGUUUGUUUACCAAGAAGAACGACAAUAGCCAAAGGGUCCUUCUUUUAACCCUAAACCACAGCAAACAUUGUCUCCAGAAGGGCCUCGGUUAUCUAAGGAGCCUUGGGCUACCAUGAAAUGUGCAGAGGAAACAAUUCACCCCUGUUCACCCAUGUUCGCUAUCACCACCUCGUGCGUGGCUUAGGAUGGCGGGGUGGAGUCUUUCCUAAUCAUGCAACACUCUGUGCCCCUGACAGAAGAAUCUCAGGGGAGUGUCCACCAAGGUCUACCAUGACAAGUCUUCCAGGAAGGGCAAUGUGGUUCAGACCAAAGAGCACCAGAGUGGAAGGACAGAGGACAAUGUGCCUGUCAUAGCUCUUCUGCUGGUCAUAUGAUCAUGCAUGGAUCUCCUUUCACAUAGAAUGGUGGUAACAUGUAUUCCCUGGUGAGAGCAAAGGGCAAUCAAUGUGUGGCAUAAGUUAGGCCAGUGAUAUGUAAGUGGUGUUGCAGUCUGUAGUAUGCUGGGCAAGUGUAAGUUAUCACUCAGAUUUGAUUCCGAGGAGGCCCUGCCCGACCUGCCAAGUCCCUCCAAGCUGCCUGGAUCAGGGCCUGGUAUCUCGUCCAGAUCGGAACAGUCGGAGUCCAGUAGGAAUAGUAGGGACAGAGUAACCCUCAGAGCUUGUGUUUUCCAUUCCGACAGCUCAUUUAUCCCACCGUAUCUGUUUCUCCCUGUGCCUCGAAGCCAGCACCCCAGGGACGUGACCCAGUUGCCUUGCCGCCCACAGAGCUUCCUUCCCAGAGCCUUCCUCCCCACCCCGAAGGACACAGGAGGCAACUUGCUCCCCCCGUGCUCAUGCCCCCACGGCUCAUUGUCCACAGGCCACACCGCAGUGUGCUCUUCACCACAGGACUUUGUCCCUGUUGCCUCUUAAUCCCACGUCCAGGUCUUGGAGCCAUCAGUAUAAUUUCCCUGUCAUUAGCAAUGUGCUCACGAUGUACUUUCCUCACUAUGACUCAGAAUGACUUCAGGUCCUUCGAACAAUUGAAGUCCUUUGUAGACUAAGAGUUGGUGUUGAUAAUGUCCAAAUGGAUUGGGUCAAUUUUCCGUCCUCAGACAGGCCCUAACCAGGAAACAGAAUUGCAGGGAAAUGGAAACCAGAUUCAAAAAGAUACAUGAAGAUGAAAUCCGGGUAUGGAGAACACAGCUUUCCAGGAAGGGCUGAAACAACUAGAAUUAUUUUGGCUUGAGGGUGAAGUACACAAAAUGCAGGCUGGCUCUUUCCUGUCGCCACCAAAGAGGGAAACAACAGAAAGGUCUUCAGAUAGGGCAAGAAGGAUUUAGGUGACAUUUAAAGAAGAAUUUCUUAGUAAUGUGCAUUGUUAAAUAUUGGAAGAAUUUACAAAGGAAAUCUGUAAAAUUCCUUUCUGUACCAAUCUUUCCAUAGAAGGG
ensembl:lncRNA